rnacentral:misc_RNA from 1 species
AACGCACGAGACCUGCGGACCUGCGGAGGGAUCAUUACAGAGUUGCAAAACUCCCUAAACCAUUGUGAACGUUACCUAAACCGUUGCUUCGGCGGGCGGCGCGCCCUCGCGCGCGCCCCUGGGCCCCACCGCGGGCGCCCGCCGGAGGUCACCAAACUCUUGAUAUUAAUUGGCCUCUCUGAGUCUUCUGUACUGAAUAAGUCAAAACUUUCAGCAACGGAUCUCUAGAUCGGAAGAGCA